AAGAAGCCCCGGCUAACUUCGUGCCAGCAGCCGCGGUAAUACGAAGGGGGCUAGCGUUGCUCGGAUUUACUGGGCGUAAAGGGCGCGUAGGCGGCGAUGAAAGUCAGGCGUGAAAGCCCCGGGCUCAACCUGGGAGGUGCGCUUGGGACUACAUUGCUGGAGUUCGGGAGAGGAGCGUGGAAUUCCCAGUGUAGAGGUGAAAUUCGUAGAUAUUGGGAAGAACACCGGUGGCGAAGGCGGCGCUCUGGACCGAUACUGACGCUGAGGCGCGAAAGCGUGGGGAGCAAACAGGAUUAGAUACCCUGGUAGUCCACGCUGUAAACGAUGUGUGCUAGACGUUGGAGAGCCUAGCUCUUCGGUGUCGCCGCUAACGCUUUAAGCACACCGCCUGGGGAGUACGGCCGCAAG
rnacentral:rRNA from 1 species